UACGUAGGGUGCAAGCGUUGUCCGGAAUUAUUGGGCGUAAAGAGCUCGUAGGCGGUUUGUCGCGUCUGCUGUGAAAACUCGGGGCUUAACCCCGGGCCUGCAGUGGGUACGGGCAGACUAGAGUGCGGUAGGGGAGACUGGAAUUCCUGGUGUAGCGGUGAAAUGCGCAGAUAUCAGGAGGAACACCGGUGGCGAAGGCGGGUCUCUGGGCCGUGACUGACGCUGAGACGCGAAAGCGUGGGGAGCAAACAGG
rnacentral:rRNA from 1 species